GUACUGAUUUACCUAUAAAUGAACAUGCAGGUUUGCGAGAAUCAUCCACAAGGUGUUGUGUUGGUGAAAUUUAAGGAUCGAAGAGAUGGUGCGAAAUGCAUCGAGUUGAUGAAUGGAAGAUGGUUUGCAGGGAGGCAAAUUCAUGCUAGUGAAGAUGAUGGUUCGGUUAACCACGCUCUUAUUCGUGAUUUCGACGAGGAGGCAGCAAGGCUCGAGCAAUUUGGUGCAGAACUUGAAGGCGACUGAUGCAAAAUCUUAUCCCACUGUAAUUUGGCAAUCUUUUAGAGCCAAGAGGAUGGCGCGAAGGAAAUGUCUCGUUUAAAUACCUCAAAUCAAAUCCUUACUCGAAACCAACCUACGGAAGGUGAUGUCCGCAUGUCCGCAUGAAAAGAGCGAUGCAGCACAAAUGCGGUGACAAACAGAGAAAUCUUCGGCACGUCAUGUUUCUCUACAAAACUUUGUUCUCAAAGCCAUCAGCUCUCACCUUGUCAACAUAAGGAAAUUUACAUCCUUCUUGCAGCAACUAAACUAAGUAUGGCUAACAUUGGACGCAAGGGCUUAAUUAUGUAUAAUUUGUUUGUAUUAUGGUCCUGGAUUAUUAAUCUAUUAAAUUUUGAAACUUUGACCUUAAUUUGGAGAUGGCUCGAAACAGAUGCGUAUUUCAUAUCUUGUUCUUUUUUUCCUUAUUGUUCAUGUGCUGAUUCUUAUUGAAAUGGUGUACAAUAAAGGCCCUUUUUGAAAA